GUUUAGUUGUUUGACUCUCCACAUUAACAAUCCUUUCCCAUCAUCCCGCCUUGAAGCAAUUUCUUGUCAUAUUACUGUGAAAUUAAAUCCUUGUCCAACCUUACAAAAGAAACUAAAUGUCCUGUCUGAUAUUGAAGAGUUAGCAUAGGCCCACUCAUUCUCUGCCAAGAUUCUAAAAAAAAAAAUCAAUUCCACUUUGAAAAAAUGAUUUAUCUGUAUAUUGAGUGCUAAUAAUUGUUCAAAGUAAGUAAUUUUUUUUAAUGUUGGAAGUUGAGAAAAAUUCCUAUCAGAGUACAGAAAUUCAGAACUGAUCCCUCCAAAACAAUUUUUGUUUUUCAGAAAAAGUGCAUAAGACUUUGAAGCACUUAAGAAACAUAAAGACCUAACAAAUAAAGGGUUGAUGGAAAGCAGGACUGUAUUUACAUUUGAAUAUAUAAGGUACUUAAAAACUUGCGAAAAGUCACAAUGAUUUUAAGAAUAUUUUGCCAAGUAAAUUGGCAAAUAAAGUUUGGCAACACAUUUUAGAAAGGCGAUUUAUAUAACUAUGUAUAAAUAAAGGCAAAUAUGAAUGUAAUUGAUUUAGUUUAAUUACAUUAAUAUAAUUUACAUCAUACCACAUGGUAUUAGCCACAUGGCAAAUUCAGUUAUAACAAAAAACCGUAUUUAGGACAGUCCUUUUUUUCACUACUAUUUGCAUAAUUCCCAGUAAUAUAGAAGCCUAAUACAGGUAUGCUUAUCUUUUAUGAUUAUAAUAAUCUACAAGUUAUACUUCAACAUUGUGGCUUGAAAAAUAAACACCAGUAUGUUUUUAUGCUUCAGUCAAAGUUGACUGGUUUCACGUUUUAAAAGCUUUUCAUGUGAGGCAGAGCAAAGUCUGCCCCAGACCAAUACCAACAAGUCCUACAAAUUCCUCUGUCAAACCUGGCAAUCCACCUCAUGCAUCAAGGACUCUUAGACCUUUGAACUUGACAACAUCACUCCCACUGCUACUUUUUAAACUAAAAGAGAGGAAUGGUAAUGUGAAGAAUUCAAACAAAAAUG
rnacentral:lncRNA from 1 species